rnacentral:rRNA from 1 species
AUGGCGUCAUCCGAUGAAGCUGGCGACGACAAUUAUGGAUACAAAAGGGGGGAGAAAGAAUACAUGUUGGAGACCGUGCAAUGCUUGCUAUUUGCUAGAGACAACCUCCCCAGCGACGUGUACCGCAAGUUCGUCAAGGCCAUGACCGAGGUUUGGAAAAACUGUGCUGACCCGGAUGGUGAAAUAAGGAACAUCUGCCCUGAAAACUGCAUAGAGACGGCGUUGAAGCUAUUUCAGGGUUGGGCUACAGUUAAACAGAGCUUCCUUAACUUCACUGAAGGCCGUAGCCCCGUCAAAGGCAAUGGCAUUGUCGAUGCUGAUGUCGAAGCCGUUGUUGUCAACCCCUUGCUACAGAAACCAAUAGAUUUUCUUUCCAGACUGAAGGCAUGCCCUAACAUGAGCGCUGAUCAUUAUGCCGCUUUUUUGAAAAUCAUGCAAGAUUAUUUCAGGGACAGGACCAUGACCCCUCGAAAAGUUUACAAGAAGGUGAGGAGAUGCAUGCGUGACUGUCCUGAGUUGUUGGAAGAGUUUGUGGAUAAUUUUCUCCCUGCAGACCUGAAGGCCUUUGUAAAGGUUAAAGCAAAUGAUAAUCACCGCUCGGGUGGUAUCCAUAUGAAAGAAGGUUACGGAGAAUUGUCUCACACCGAAGAGGAUGAGGAAGACAAGGUUAAACCCUUGCCAGACUGGAAUUCCUCAAAAGCUCAGGAAUUGCCCCCAGAAGUUGAUCCCAAGAAGCUCGAACGAGCUUGCACUCCUAGCUAUUACCUGCUGCCAGAUAAUUUAACUCUUCAUUCAAGUUAUUGGACCAAUCUGGGGAGGUCUAUUCUCAACGAUACUUUGGUUUGUUCUAUAUCUGGGAUGGAAAGCUCUAAGCACAAAACUAUAAAUGGUUAUGAGACAAACAUUUUCUACUGUGAAGAAGACAUGUUUGAGAGUGACAUGCUAUUACACCGGUUUCGUGCGACUGCUGACCUUAUUGCCAAUCUCCAAACUCGUGCUGGCAGCCAUUUGAAGAUAAGCGAGCAUUUAACUCCUCUACACCGGAGGUGCAUUGAAAAACUAUAUGAUGAUGAUCUUGAUCUUGAUGAUCUGUUGGAGAGUCCGAAUACUAGUUCUGUUCUUGCUGUUCUACUUUCUCGUUUAAAGCAGAAGGUAGAAGAUUUAUCGGAGGCGCGCUCAUAUUUGCAUAAGGCGCACUCACAAGUUAUUGCCAAAAAUUACUACAGAUCGCUUGAUCAUCGUGGCCUCUCUUUCAAACAAUUGGAUGCAAAGAGGAUGAGCCAAAAAGCAUUGCUGGCGGAAGCAAAUGAGAUCAAUAAAAAGAAUUUGAAAGCUAGAGAUAAAAAUGCUGAUACAGACAUGUCGAAUGCUGGAGAUAAAUAUGCUGCUGAUACAGCCAUGUCAAAUGCUGGAGAUAAAUAUGCUGAUACAGACACGUCGAAUGCUGGAGAUAAAUAUGCUGAUACAGACAUGCACAAGGACAUAAGCAGUAUACUAUCCGCUGCAUGUGCCUCUGAAGAGAAGCAGGUGAUGAAUUGGGCGAAAAUAGUACAUCCAUUUCUUUCUGCUCAUUGUCUAUGGCCUUCAUCUAAGGAAACUGUAGCUCCCGCAAAAGCUUGUGAACAUUGCCGCACCAGCAAAGAUUUUCUCAGUAGCAUACCUGAUGCUUUGCCUGCUACUAAGCUUUCUUCAUCUUCCAAGAGGGGGGAAUUCCUAAAGAAAAAUUCUAACGACUUGAGCUCUUCACACGAUGGUUUUGGCCAAGACAUUGAUCAGGAGAGUGAUUUAAUGCCCGAACCAGAAAUCAUUGAGUCGGAUGUCAUGCUUGGUGCCAGAAAAGAACCAGUAAGUUGUGAUGUUGGCACUUCCGGUAUAGAUGGGUUGAGCUCUGGUUGUCGUAUAAUCGAUACUGCUGAACCUAGUACUCGUGACCAUGGAAACAAACAUGAGAAGCAGCAUGAAUCAAGUCAACACUCCAAAACAUCAGCUAAACUGCGUGGUGUGAAAGGAGGCACUUGUUGUUUUCUCAUUGUGCUUCGCAGGCUUUACCAGAUUUUAUAUGACAGACUACAAACUGCGAGAGGUUUAUGCGCCGAUGAUCUAUUAUAUGCAGAGUUUAAGGAUAAAAUAAUCAAGCUACAUGCCCAUUGUAUUGAUAAUUCCAGUUUUGAAGACUUCUGCCUGCAAUUUCUUGGGCCAAAGUCAGUUGAACUUUUUACUCUGGAUAUAGUGAUAAACCGAGUUAUCAAGCAGUUGUGCAUAAUUUAUUCAAGAGAUCAAGACAACUCGCUCUUUCAAUUCCUUGAGAACUUUGGAAGACCAGUUCUACCCAAACUUGUGUCCCGGCAUCAAAACUUUCCCAACAAUCCAUCAAAUGUUUUACCGAAGUAUGAUCAAGAGGAGCAAGAGAAAGCUCUUGCCGAUACCGAAAAACUUCCGCGCCAUUUUGAGAGAAGGAAAAAACGCAAGUUGGAGAACAGUGCAACGAUUUCCUCAGCUUGGAGUUCCUCCCAGCUUGGAGCAGUGACUGAAACUCAUGGUUGA